rnacentral:rRNA from 1 species
GUGGGGAAUAUUGGACAAUGGGGGAAACCCUGAUCCAGCCAUGCCGCGUGUGUGAUGAAGGCCUUCGGGUUGUAAAGCACUUUCGCACGUGACGAUGAUGACGGUAACGUGAGAAGAAGCCCCGGCUAACUUCGUGCCAGCAGCCGCGGUAAUACGAAGGGGGCAAGCGUUGUUCGGAAUUACUGGGCGUAAAGGGCGCGUAGGCGGUGCUCUAAGUCAGGCGUGAAAGCCCUGGGCUCAACCCGGGAAUUGCGCUUGAUACUGGAGCGCUUGAAUCCAGGAGAGGUUGGUGGAAUUCCCAGUGUAGAGGUGAAAUUCGUAGAGAUUGGGAAGAACACCGGUGGCGAAGGCGGCCAACUGGACUGGUAUUGACGCUGAGGCGCGAAAGCGUGGGGAGCAAACAGGAUUAGAAACCCUGGUAGUCC